GCGGGUGUGGUGAAAUUGGCAGACACGCUAGACUUAGGAUCUAGUGCCGUGAGGCUUGGGGGUUCGAGUCCCUUCACCCGCA
rnacentral:tRNA from 1 species